rnacentral:lncRNA from 1 species
GUUGAGAUGGUGGAAUGAGUAGUUAAUUUGCACCACAGAUCAAUGGUAUCGUAGGGUACUAAUUAUUAGGCUUGGAAAGUAUUAGGACAAUCAUUUCUAGCGGGAAUGGACUCCUAUGUUGCUUCAUAUCAAAAUCAACAUAAAUGUCAAGAUCAUGCACAUGUCAUUGCUAUCAUUCCUGCGGGUGCGAGCCCUGCCUGGCCCCAAAAGGAUGGAUGUGUACCACAUAGUGCAGCUGCCCUGCGUCAUGCAAGACCAACUUCCACCAGUAGGAGGCGGCUUGCUUCUUCGGCUGCACCGAACCUACCGAAGUCUGCUAGGGCAGAUUCAGAGCGGGUGGCCACGACUGAGGUUGUUGAACUAUGCCAUAGAUGCAGACCACUGUGCAAGCUGGGCCUCGCUGGUUCUCUAGCUAGGAAACCUAACUGAUUGCUAGCAAGAGUUAUUUUUCUACCAUGUUGUUAGGCCCUUCAUGUACCGCUCUUACAUUCACCGCAUCUUGUUACUUUGAUAUUUGUUUCAUGUUUCUGAUCUUUGCCAAAGUUUGUCCUGUUU